rnacentral:rRNA from 1 species
ACGAACGCUGGCGGCGUGCUUAACACAUGCAAGUCGAGCGGUAAGGCCCUUUCGGGGGUACGACGAGCGGCGAACGGGUGAGUAACACGUGGGUGACCUGCCCUCAGCUCUGGGAUAAGCCUGGGAAACCGGGUCUAAUACCGGAUAUGACUCCAUGACGCAUGUUGGUGGGGUGGAAAGCCUUGUGCGGCUGAGGAUGGGCCCGCGGCCUAUCAGCUUGUUGGUGGGGUGANGGCCUACCAAGGCGACGACGGGUAGCCGGCCUGAGAGGGCGACCGGCCACACUGGGACUGAGACACGGCCCAGACUCCUACGGGAGGCAGCAGUAGGGAAUCUUGCGCAAUGGGCGAAAGCCUGACGCAGCAACGCCGCGUGGGGAUGACGG